UGGAUGAAAGCCCAGUUUUCCUCUUGUAUCAGGAUUGGGCAUUGGGCUUAAUUUUUCUUAAGAUAUGGACUAGACUGGUAAUGUUAGAUCAUAUGAUACCACUGGUGGAUGACAGUUGGAGGGUAAAGUUUGAAAGAGUUAGAGAAGAUGGCUUCUCCAGGCUGCAAGGACUCUGGGUUCUGCGGGAAAUAGUUGUGCCAAUUAUAAUGAAGUUACUGACAGCACUAUGCGUACCAUAUGUACUAGCUAGAGGAGUAUUUCCCGUAUUUGGGUACCCGCUGAUCGUCAACUCGGCUGUUUAUCGAUUUGCUUGGAUUGGAUGCCUUUGUGUUAGCAUGUUGUAUUUCUGUGCCAAGAGAUUUCAUGUUUGGUUCACCA
rnacentral:misc_RNA from 1 species